rnacentral:rRNA from 1 species
GACGAACGCUGGCGGCGUGCUUAACACAUGCAAGUCGAACGGAAAGGCCCUGCUUUUGUGGGGUGCUCGAGUGGCGAACGGGUGAGUAACACGUGAGUAACCUGCCCUUGACUUUGGGAUAACUUCAGGAAACUGGGGCUAAUACCGGAUAGGAGCUACUGAUGCAUGGUGGGGGUUGGAAAGUUUCGGCGGUUGGGGAUGGACUGGCGGCUUAUCAGCUUGUUGGUGGGGUAGGGGCUGACCAAGGCUUUGACGGGUAGCCGGCCUGGGAGCGUGGCCGGCGACAUUGGGCCUGAGAGAGGCAGCAGAAGCGUAUGGGAGGCAGCGGGGGGGAACAUGGCACAAUGGGGGGAAGCCUGAGGCAGCAGCGCCGCGUGCGGGAUGACGGCUUUCGGGGUGUAAACCGCUGUCUCCUGUGACGAAGAGGGAGUGACGGUAAUGGGUAAAGAAGCACCGGCUAACUACGUG